AGUGGACGCUGGCGGUAGGCCUAACACAUGCAAGUCGAACGGCAGCACAGUAAGAGCUUGCUCUUACGGGUUGCGAGUGGCGGACGGGUGAGGAAUACAUCGGAAUCUACUUUUUCGUGGGGGAUAACGUAGGGAAACUUACGCUAAUACCGCAUACGACCUACGGGUGAAAGCAGGGGAUCUUCGGACCUUGCGCGAUUGAAUGAGCCGAUGUCGGAUUAGCUAGUUGGCGGGGUAAAGGCCCACCAAGGCGACGAUCCGUAGCUGGUCUGAGAGGAUGAUCAGCCACACUGGAACUGAGACACGGUCCAGACUCCUACGGGAGGCAGCAGUGGGGAAUAUUGGACAAUGGGCGCAAGCCUGAUCCAGCCAUACCGCGUGGGUGAAGAAGGCCUUCGGGUUGUAAAGCCCUUUUGUUGGGAAAGAAAGGCAGCAGGUUAAUACCCCGCUGUUCUGACGGUACCCAAAGAAUAAGCACCGGCUAACUUCGUG
rnacentral:rRNA from 1 species